GAUGAACGCUGGCGGCGUGCCUAAUACAUGCAAGUCGAGCGAACAGACGAGGAACUUGCUCCUCUGACGUUAGCGGCGGACGGGGGAGUAACACGUGGAUAACCUACCUAUAAGACUGGGAUAACUUCGGGAAACCGGAGCUAAUACAGGAUAAUAUAUUUAACCGCAUGGUUCAAUAGUGAAAGACGGUGUUGCUGUCACUUAUACAUGGAUCCGCGCCGCAUUAGCUAGUUGGUAAGGUAACGGCUGACCAAGGCAACGACGCGUAGCCGACCUGAGAGGGUGACGGGCAACACUGGACCUGAGACACGGCCCAGCCUCCUACGGGAGGCAGCAGUAGGGAAUCUUCCGCAAUGGGCGAAAGCCUGCCGGAGCAACGCCGCGUGAGGGAUGAAGGUCUUCGGAUCGUAAAACUCUGUUAUUAGGGAAGAACACAUUUGUAAGUAACUAUGCACGUCUUGACGGUACCUAAUCAGAAAGCCACGGCUAACUACGUG
rnacentral:rRNA from 1 species